UACAACAUCAAAAGAACACCAAAAAAUAACCAUUCAUCAGAUCAGAUAAAUAAAAUAAAGGAACAAGAACCCCCCCUCAUUUCCAGUUUAGGGUUUCAACAGACACUUAAAGAGAAGCAAAUCAAACAAAAAACAUGCCAAAGAACAAAGGUAAAGGAGGUAAAAACAGGAAAAGAGGUAAAAAUGAAGCAGAUGAUGAGAAAAGAGAACUUGUUUUCAAAGAAGAUGGACAAGAAUAUGCACAGGUACAACGUAUGUUAGGUAAUGGUCGUUGUGAAGCUAUGUGUAUUGAUGGAACAAAACGUCUUUGUCAUAUACGUGGUAAAAUGCAUAAGAAAGUUUGGAUUGCUGCUGGUGAUAUCGUUCUUGUUGGACUUCGUGAUUAUCAGGACGACAAAGCUGAUGUGAUCUUGAAGUACAUGCCUGAUGAGGCCAGGUUAUUGAAGGCAUAUGGAGAGUUACCGGAGAACACAAGGCUUAAUGAGGGUAUUGCUAAUGGUCUGGAUGAAGAGGAUGACGCUGCUGUGGAUGAUUACAUUGAAUUUGAGGAUGAAGACAUUGACAAAAUAUAAAUCUGAACUCAAACUGCUGUUACUGAGUGUCUGCUCUAAGUUAUCUUCUGAUAAAGGAAGCUCAUCUUUGAGGAUGGGGGGUAGAAAUGAGGGAUUUGGACUCAAUUCAUCUACUACCGCUUUUGCAAUGGUUUUGUAAGGUGAUGCUGGAUGAUGAAUUUGGUUUAGGAACUGAAUUAAAUGGUCCGACAUGCUUCCUUCUUUUUAUUUUGCUUGUGCACUGUUUAUUUUGAGGGUUGCAUGCUGUUUGAACAACAGAGUUUUGAAAGGAAUCAACUUAUGGCAAAAACCAAGGUUUCUCACAGGGACCAAUGGUAUAAUGCUGCCUUAUCAAGACUGUCAUUCUUGGGGUUUUAGGGGAUUAAUUUGUGUUGCUGUCUCACAUUGCUUUAAAUAGCACUUUAUAAUCA